UGCCAAGUCUCUGGGUGUUCAGGACCAUGGU
rnacentral:piRNA from 1 species